CUUCUGUUCCCUUCUCUUUUCCAACCGGUAUAGAUCUGAAAAGUUUGGGGGAAAUGUAGGACAGAAAAAAAAAAAGGUGCCUUUUUUUAACCUUCUACUCUUUUGCGAUAGGAUUACCUUAUGAGCUGAACUGUGUUAUCAGGUCACAGACUGAUUUCCCAGAUUUAAAAAAUAAUCACUGUAAUUCAUUUUGCUGUUCUCAAAUAUACCCCUAAAGCCUUACACUUUAUUAGCCUGCUGCUUCUCCUCUUGCAGUCUCAUCUUGCAGUCCAUUUAGAUAUGACUUUAGAAAAGCACUUGUUUUGGUCAGAAAUCAGAAAAAUUUCAUACAAAAAAUUUGUGAAUCUUAAAAACAGCAAAUUUACAGACAGACAAUUUGGGUAGGGAAUGGAAUUUGGAGAAACAUCUUGAAAUGAGCUUUGCCAUUUCUGUACAUGUGGUCGUGGUCUUCUUUAGUCUGAUUUAGUCUCAGCCUAAGCUGAGAAGGAGGGAUCUUGCAGAGAAGAACAAGGAAUAGGGAUAGAUAUAUGAUGUAUUCAACUAGUUUGAAAUUUGGGCUAGUUAUUAAGUGCCAGACCUAUGUGUGCCAGGAGAGGGUAGCAAAUGUUGAAUAUUAGAAUGCAGGCAGCUGUAUCUGUCUCCCCAUCUGGAAAUGUAGUGUAUAAUACUUUGUUUCGACAUUUUUCUUUCAGGGACCUAACACAAUCGUGAUCUGCAUGGUCAUCUUAUUGAACAUUGGUCUGGCCAUCUUAUUUGUACAUUUUUUGACAUGAUGCGCCCCUCAGGCAAGGGACACUUUCAGUUUGCGGUUCCGUGGCCACUGCUGCCAGGUAAUUCGUGCAUUGCAAUAUUUAUUGGAACUCAGCCCAGCAAGGCAGGAACAUAAAGAAAAUGUGCAAACGUGAAGUUUGCAGCUCUGAUCUGCACCAGCGCUAGUUCUGCCACUGUCAUUAUGUAGUCGUGUUACUUAAUGUAAAUGUGAGCUGAGACUUCUGCAUCUAACUCAGAUUAAACUGGAGCUCACUCUGGUCUUCCACCUGAGUUAGGAUGACGGUUUACAUCUGGAUUUGGUGGCAAUGGAAACUUGUGAGGUUUCUUGUGCCUGGGUGGUUCCUGCACACAGGAAUGUGUCAUGAGUUUGCAUAAGAUUUCUGUGCUGUGAUUUCUUGGGCUGAAAUAUUGCAAAAAAAAAAGCCCCAUGAAGGCUGAACCUGACCCUUAGU
rnacentral:lncRNA from 1 species